rnacentral:rRNA from 1 species
GAUGAACGCUAGCGGCAGGCCUAACACAUGCAAGUCGAGGAGCAGCACAGGUAGCAAUACUGGGUGGCGACCGGCGGAUGGGUGCGUAACGCGUAUGCAACCUACCAUUGAUUGGGGCAUAGCCCGAAGAAAUUCGGAUUAAUACUCCAUAAUAUUCAUCAAAGGCAUCUUUUAUGAAUUAAAGCUUUUGCGAUCAAUGAUGGGCAUGCGUGACAUUAGUUAGUUGGUGAGGUAACGGCUCACCAAAACGAUGAUGUCUAGGGGUUCUGAGAGGAUUAUCCCCCACACUGGUACUGAGACACGGACCAGACUCCUACGGGAGGCAGCAGUGAGGAAUAUUGGUCAAUGGACGCAAGUCUGAACCAGCCAUGCCGCGUGCAGGAUGACGGCCCUAUGGGUUGUAAACUGCUUUUCCACGGGAAGAACCCUCCGACGUGUCGGAGACUGACGGUACCGUGGGAAUAAGCAUCGGCUAACUCCGUG